AUUGAACGCUGGCGGCAGGCCUAACACAUGCAAGUCGAGCGAGCGGCGGACGGGUGAGUAAUGUAUGGGAAUCUGCCCGAUAGAGGGGGAUAACUACUGGAAACGGUGGCUAAUACCGCAUACUAUCGGAUGAACCCAUAUGGGAUUAGCUAGUAGGUGGGGUAACGGCUCACCUAGGCGACGAUCGCUAGCUGGUCUGAGAGGAUGAUCAGCCACACUGGAACUGAGACACGGUCCAGACUCCUCCGGGAGGCAGCAGUGGGGAAUAUUGCACAAUGGGCGCAAGCCUGAUACAGCCAGGCCGCGUGUAUGAAGAAGGCCUUAGGGUUGUAAAGUACUUUCAGCGAGGAGGCGUUACCCGCAGAAGAAGCACCGGCUAACUCCGUGCCAGCAGCCGCGGUAAUAC
rnacentral:rRNA from 1 species